rnacentral:rRNA from 1 species
UACGUAGGGCGCAAGCGUUGUCCGGAAUCAUUGGGCGUAAAGAGCUCGUAGGUGGUCUGUUACGUCUGCUGUGAAAACCCAGGGCUUAACCCUGGGCUUGCAGUGGAUACGGGUAGACUAGAGGCAGGUAGGGGAGAAUGGAAUUCCCGGUGUAGCGGUGAAAUGCGCAGAUAUCGGGAGGAACACCGGUGGCGAAGGCGGUUCUCUGGGCCUGACCUGACGCUGAGGAGCGAAAGCGUGGGGAGCGAACAGG